rnacentral:rRNA from 1 species
AAGGUGAUGCCUGCCCGGUGACAUGACGUUUAACGGCCGCGGUAUCCUGACCGUGCGAAGGUAGCGCAAUCAAUUGUCCCGUAAAUCGGGACACGUAUGAAUGGCUAAACGAGGUCUUAACUGUCUCUUACAGGCAAUCGGUGAAAUUGAUCUCCCUGUGCAAAAGCAGGGAUAACCACAUAAGACGAGAAGACCCUGUGGAACUUUAAAAACAGCAACCACCCCAAAAUACAUACUCUUCCCCCACUCGGGCUCACUACCUUUUGGGACGAUGGUCUGCAUUUUUUCGGUUGGGGCGACCUUGGAGCAAAACAAAACCUCCAAACAUGGGACCAAACCUCCAGACUAAGAGCAACUACUCAAAGUGCUAAUAGCCACCAGAUCCAAUAUAAUUGACCAAUGGACCAAGCUACCCCAGGGAUAACAGCGCAAUCUCCUCCAAGAGUCCAUAUCGACGGGGAGGUUUACGACCUCGAUGUUGGAUCAGGACAUCCUAGCGGUGCAGCAGCUACUAAGGGUUCG